GAGUCCGCGUCCCAUUAGCUUGUUGGUGAGGUAAAGGCCCGCCAAGGCGACGAUGGGUAGCUGGUCUGAGAGGAUGAUCAGCCACACUGGGACUGAGACACGGCCCAGACUUCUACGGGAGGCAGCAGUAGGGAAACUUGCACAAUGGGCGCAAGCCUGAUGCAGCAACGCCGCGUGGGUGAAGAAGGCUUUCGAGUUGUAAAGCCCUUUCAGCUGGAAAGAAGGGUGUUGGGGUUAAUAGCCUCGAUACUUGACGGUACCAGAAGAAGAAGCACUGGCUAACUCCGUGCCAGCAGCCGCGGUAAUACGGAGAGUGCAAGCGUUGUUCGGAAUAACUGGGCGUAGAGUGCGAGCAGGCGGGUUUACAAGUCGAUUGUGAAAGCCCAGAGCUUAACUUUGGAAUUGCAGUCGAAACUGUCGACCUUGAAUGCCUGAGAGGAUGGCGGAAUUCCUGGUGUAGAAGUGAAAUUCGUAGAGAUCAGGAGGAACACUUGUGGCGAAGGCGGCCAUCUGGCAGUGCAUUGACGCUGAAUCGCGAAAGCGUGGGGAGCAAACAGGAUUAGAUACCCUGGUAGUCCACGCGGUAAACGAUGAACGCUAGGUGCCGGGG
rnacentral:rRNA from 1 species